CUCUCCUCUCUCCCUGCCAUACGCCCAGUAUCCCACUCAUUUUGUCACCACCGAAGAAAAGAAAAUGAAUGCCUGGUGGGGAGCAGAGGCAAACAGGCAAAAAAGAGGCAAGGAGAGAAAGCUGACCAAGUACAUUACAUCUCAGGAAUAGGCAUCUGCUGCACUGCCAUCUGUGUUCAUGACUUUGCGUUGUCCCAGUCUUGAACAGCAAGCUCCUCUUGUACUUGUCUGUCCCUAAUGGAUUAGCAGAAAAGGGGAGGACCAAACAGAAAUAAAGGCACAGACCUCAGAGUACAGAAAAAGCUCUGAGAAGUAUUGGGUUGAAGAGAAGCAACCCUUCCUGUAGCUAAGACACAGAAGAAAGGGCAAGCUUAGGGUGGAGUAUAUAAUGGAAGAUGUCAGGAACAAACAGAACAGAAAACAAUGGCUGAUGACUUGGAGAAGCAACCCUGGGAAGCAGAGGGCUUUCUGUGACCAAGGUAGGUAGUGUAGGCAAUUGGAUGCCAAAAGGUAGAUAGGACAUGCCACAAUUUACCUUUGCCUGCUUCUGUGGCCUCCACGGCUUCUGUCGGAUGAAACACAAGAAAAAGGAGGAAGAGCAGCGAAAGGACCAGGAAACCGCUGUUUGAUCAGGGUAGGCGGGAACCUACUCCAUAUCCUCUGGUGUAGAGCAAUCUUCAACAUGAUCUUACAUGACAAUAGGAGCACUCAUGGCUGCACUUUCUGUGGCUGGCCCUUGGAGAAGUGAAUCAGCUGUUACUCUGUAUAUGAACAGCCAUGUCUCAGUGUUUCAUAUGUACUUGUGCAAUCUCUCUCUGACACAUUUCACACUUGCAAAAAAUAAAUGAGUUCCUCAGUCCUUUGCCAGUAGGCCACACUCUGUUUCAUGACAUCCAAGCAAUUCGCUGAGUAAUGUAAUAAAACCAUGUAAUGUAGAAGUAUGCAAUUCCAGUCCAUGAUAGUUUGAGGUUUUAACUUACAAUGUAUUUCCAUAGGAUUUACUGCUCAAAUAAUAACUCAAAUACUAUAUUUAAGAAAUUAGAUUAGUCAAUUUAGUUCAAUUAGAGUUCUUGAAAUAAGUUAUUUCUAUGAUUUGUCCCUUAGUGAAAUUCCUACCAGUCCAGUGCUAUACAUACUGUAUAGGCUUCACUUCAUAAGGUAGUUUGAGUUCAUAUUUUCAAAAACUGUAGCUCUUGAGAGAGAAUAAUAGUCACUACCUUUAAAUAUUAACAAAAGCCGUUACUGUAGUUUCUUAAAAAUUUACAAGUCUAUUUCUGUCUGUUUUUUCGUGAAAAGUUAGUGAACAACUAAGUUAGUGUGUUCUGGGGCUUGGAUACACAUCACGAUCCUACUUUCACAGACUUAAAGUUAAACCCUAAAGCACCCAACCUCCGGGGUGUGUAUUUGUGCACAUGAGCGUGAACAAACAUUUACUGAGAAAACAUGUUUAUUAAAAUAACUAAGGUUGUAUUCUGUCAAAGUUUUAAAAAAAUAAGGACCAGUGGUUAAACGGGGCGUUUUAGUCACUCUGUAGUCUCACUGCAUAGUGGAUGACCGCUGACACUGUUGAAUUUGGACUAUGUUUCAUUAACUAUCAAGCAGGCUGCAGGUCAGUUACCAUUGUCAACUUAACAUGCUACUCCAGCAAGCAUCUCAAACCGAGCUUGUGGAUGAUGUAAGCAGGGGCCGUGGGGACACCUUGUAGGAUGUCUGACAUUUACUGAAGAAUGUCUUUAUUAAAAUAACUAAGGCAUUAUUCUUUAAAGUUUUUAAUGUGUAUUUGAUGCAUGAUGCUAAAUGCAGCUUACUAGUACCUAUUAAAUGUAAUUAAAUAAUCAUGUCCACCUUCUUUAAAAUAACAAAAAUAUAUCCUAAAUUCUUACCCCCUUGCCUGAUUCCACAGUUCCUACCCCCACUAAUGUGUCAUCCAAAGCACACUAAUGCCUGCCUGGUUGAUCAUUUCUAGCCGCUAUUUAGGUUCUUCCUAUUCUGUUAAAGUUUUAAAAAAUAUGUUUUUGAUGCUUGUUGCUAAAUGCUGCUUACUAGUUCCUAUCCGAGCCUAUUCCCCAGAGACAGUGGGCAAGGCUGGGAACAAUCUCCUGACAUAAUCAUGUUGCGAGAAUAUGUUCCCCCAAGCCCAAUGCUUGCACUGUCUCGCUAGCUUGCGCUGUGACCAUGUAGGGUUUAGCUGUGUUAAGUUGAUCGGUAGAGGUUCCAGUGGGCUCGGUCGAACUCCUUGCAGGUACUGUUUGUGUGAAGUCUGCAGAAAUAAGGAGCGUAGGGCAGGUUGCUAGGUUCUGUAAUACCAUCUUGUUUAGGAGCACCUACUGUUGUCUGUUUCACAGACAUUAAGUUAUCAAAUUCUAAUUCUAAAGGCCAGUCCUUGGGUGUGUGCUUAUGUGCAUGUCCGGGGCUUUGCUGUGUGUGUGUGUGUGUGUCUGUGCGUGUGUGUGCAUGAGUGUGAACAAAUAUUUACUGAAAAAGCGUGUUUAUUAAAAUAACUAAGGCAUUAUUCUGUUAAGUUUUUAAAAAAUGUUUUUGAUGCCUGUUGCUAAAUACCUCUCACUAGUUCCUACAGUUAUUAAAUGUAAUUAAAUAAACCAGUCCAUCCUAUUUAAUAGAAAUUGACAAAAUACAACUAAACAGAUUUAUUUCUUUAAUCUUAUUUGUUAAAAAAAAUAUAUACUAAUUUGUCAUACACCAUUUAAGUUAUAGUGCUCUAUCCGGUGAUUAUCCAAAUACCUUUCUGCUAUUUUUUGUUAUAUUCAGGCCCUGUAUUUCUAAUUAAAUUUAGUGGGUGUCCGGGCCUAUCCCAGAGACUGUGGGAAAGGCCGGGAACAAGCCAGAGUUGUGGUGUUUUACUUUAAUUAGAAAUACAGUG